rnacentral:rRNA from 1 species
AGAGCGAAUCCUUCCACAAUGGACGAAAGUCUGAUGGAGCAACGCCGCGUGAGUGAAGAAGGUUUUCGGAUCGUAAAACUCUGUUGUUGGAGAAGAACAGUAUUUGAUAGUAACUGAUCAGGUAGUGACGGUAUCCAACCAGAAAGCCACGGCUAACUACGUGCCAGCAGCCGCGGUAAUUA